rnacentral:lncRNA from 1 species
AGUCGCAUGUGUUAAAGUGCUUCACCAUAUGCUUGAAGCUAUCGCAUGGUGCGUGCUUUACUCUUGGCAUUGUUUUACACUGUAAACGGUUGUCAAUAGUAAAGUGAAAGUAAACGAGAACUAUUUGUUCAUGAAAUCACUGCUGCGUCAUGCAAUUAUUACCUACAGAGAGCAGAUUAUAGUAAAGAUUAAGCAGAAGCUCUAGGGAGGGCAAAAUACUACGACAUCUUCAAGUGCACCAAUCAUAUUACAAGUUCCUCAAACCAUAAACACUUACUUUCCGGUUCUGCAGUCAGUAUGAGUCUCGUCUGUCUGGAUGGAAGCAGAGAGGAGAGGGAUAAAGUGUUGCGUUGUGGGCGAAUUAAGCAAUCGAAUGCAAAGGAAUUUCUUUCUGAACCUGGACCUCUUUAACUAUGUACACUUGGCGGUGCUUCCUCGCCAUUGUACUUGUACUUGUACUUGUUUGGUACUUCUCAGAGUUUGGACAAAUAUGGACACAAGCUUUCGUUUGUUUUUUAUGCUUUUUCAAUUUCCCUUUCAAAAAGCAAGACCGUGAAACAAGCACUCAGACGGAUGACACACUUGAAGAAACAGAACAACAGACAAAGAAAGCUCACCAUGUUGGUGUCAGUGAUGAGACUGAUGCAGCCGCACAAACUGAGUCCAAAACAAAGCAUUAUCCAAAUGUACAGAGGUCACUCCUCCAGGUGUUUAAAUGUGCCUAUGCUCACCUGGUCCAGCCGUGGUACACAGUCCCAGAACUUGGCGACAGUCAGCCCCUUCAUAGGGCACUACAGACGGAGUUUAACCUGGUAGUCGAGAGAGUCAUUUGCAAGGCAAAGAACUUUGAUCUGUCUGCUACCAGUGUGGGUUGUGUUAGGAUCUUCACUCAGCACCUGCAUAACGCAAAGCAGUCAGAUGGCUCUCCAGUGUUCGGUUCAAGGUCUGAGGAGAUGGCAGUCCUCAGGAUCUUUUCUGAAGCUCUAGUGCGAAACCUUUUUCCUGAGUACCUUUGGAAAGCAAAACUCUACCAGUGUGUCCUAACUGAGAUUGUUGCUACAAAAGCUCUUGAUGUGCUCGUGACAUGCCUCUGUAAUCCAGACAACCUGAAUCAGAUGGUUGUUUUGCAGCUGGAUAGAGUAACCUCUAAAAGCUCAACAGGAGACCUGCUAAACUCAGAUAGGGAAGGCACACCAUCUUCCAUGGGAAGUGAAGAAGCAGAAGUAUUGACAGAUGAAGCAGAGGAUGGUCGGUCUGAAGACACAAAAGAAAAGAAGAAGGGCAAUGGGAUCAAAGAACGAUUUUCUAAAUUUGUUGAUAAGGUCAAGUCAAAGAAAGCCAAAAAGAAAAACCAUAAGAAGAAGAAGGAGCAAGAGCUUUUACAGAGGGCUUUAUCAGCACGAAGAUCUGCUGUUAUUGAAGAUGAUUGUGCAAGCAGCAGAGAGGGCUCCUUUAGAAGCGGCAUGGACUAUGGCAUGGAUUAUGACAGUGAAACGGAUGUUUACCUAACAACAAAUGUCCAAGAGGAUAUGAUGGAGUUUAGGCUUUCCUAUGAGAUGUGGCGGGUGGGGAAGUGGGCAGUCCAUGUUACAAAUGUUCAAAAGGAAAAUGAAGAGCUGUGUUUCACGCUUCACCUGGAGGAGAAAAAUAACCCUGAGAAUCUCAACUGGGAUGUAAAAAAGACCCAAUCAGAAAUACUUAAUUUUCACAGCCUCUGGCAGGAUACUUCCACUUUACCCACUAUAUCUGCGAUAGUAGAGAAAACAAAGCAGGAUCUUGAUGGUGCGUAUGCAGAAGAAGUUGGAUCAGCCUUGGAGCACUUUUUACAAGAGCUGGUUUCUGAUGCACAGCUUGGUCACACUCAGCCUGUAUUCCAGUUCUUGUGUCCCAUUGUACAGCUGCUGAGUAAUAAGGAACAUAAGGGAGGUGUCUGGAGUUUUCUGAAUGGACUUGCAAGCUUUCUUAAUCCUGGCCAAGAUGAGGAUGAGUCCCAUAAUCCCAGAAGAGAAGAAAAGCUUGAUGGAGCAGGAGCCUCAGUUCAUAACAGUGGACAGUCGACAGCACAGCCAGCCUGCAUCGACACGGAUGAAGAGCCAAAGGGGGGCAUUGUAGAAGGACCAAACGAAGAAACUGACACCUUCAAAAGUAGAGAACCAGAUAUGGAAGAUCAGACCUCUGAUGAGCAGGAUGUGGUUUCAGAUGGACAAGAGAGUCUUGCUGAAAGUUUAGAUAUCUUUGUUAAUAGGUCAAAAUUAGUCAGUCCUUCAGGACACUCCAGUGAUCUCUUAAGCUCAGUCAUGAACCAUACUGAAGGUUUACAGUCUGACUCAGUCGAUGGCUUUACAAGUGCUCAGUCUGGGGGCAAAACAAACAAAAAAGAAAAGUUAACUCAAAAAAAGUUACAUGGACCUCAAAAGAUCAAAGUAAAAGAGAAAACGGGACAGCUCAAGGACGAGAUGGCAAAUCAGCCUCAGGCACAGAAAAAGGAACCCCAGAACAACUGGGACCAAGUUGAGGCCACCAAAGCCAUAUUUGAGUUAGUUAAGGAAAUAACGGGUAACUCGGUCUUCAUUAACAUUUUUGAUGCCAUUCUAAAAGCAGUCCAGCCUUUGGUAAAGAAGAAAAUAAACAACUUUUUAAAAAAGAUGCAUCCCACUGAAGCUCAGAUUGCGUCCUACAUUGACAAUUUCCGGGAGAAGAUGUGGCCAGAAGGAAACGCGCCCAUCCAGCCGCCACAUGACAGUGAGGAGAAACACGAGACCAAGGAGAAGGCUUUGCAGCUUAUAAAUUCAAAAUAUUCAAACUCUCUAAUUCUCAAGAAGACUGAUGUUGAAACUGUGUUCAAGAUCUUCCAGGACACUGAGGAGAACAAGAAACUGGUUUAUAUGCUGCUGUCAUACAUUCUUGGGGAGUUCCUACCUGGUGAGCCUGCCUUCAGUGCAAUAGCUAAUCUAACUGUGAAGGAUUUUGUUUCAUAAUUGAUAGAUCUUUUUUUAUGUAAUUUGUCUAAUGUUUUAAAAUGUGCAUUAUUUAAUAUUUUAUGUGUAUGUUCUUCAAGGAUGCAUUGUGAUAUACCUCAGAGAGGCCAGCCUUUUACUUUCACUUUGAGCAAUAUGAACACUUAAGAUUUCUUGAUAAUUUUUUUUAAUUGAACAAAAAUGCCAGCCUCUGUUAAAUGUAGCAUUUUAACAAAUGUACUGUAAUUAUGUUUCACUUCAAUAAUGUCACCAAUACUUUGGUGUACAUUUUUUAACUCACAUUAAAAAAAAUUAUCACUGUAUGUGUAAAUUCACUUUUUGUUUCGUACCUUAAAAAUGUACACUGUGAAGAACUGAUUUUCUAUUUUAAUAAACAGCACAUGUUACUCA